CUCAGCCCAGAAAAGUCCACCCACCACCACCACCACCACCACCUCUCGGUUCGCUCCGUCUUAUACACGAAGCCCACCGUCCCGACCGGUGGCUGUAGCCAGCAAACCGAGCUCCAGAUCGGUCAUCUUCGUUCCUCCUAGCCAACCCAAUUUUUUUCAAAAAGAACUUUUCAUUUUUGUUUAAUCGACACAAUCUUACCAGUGCUUCCCAGUUGUGUUUGUGCAUCUCAAAUCAAUCGACCGCUUCCUUUCAAAUUUGCAAAGCCAACGUCGAAGAUUCAGCCGCCGGGCACUGUUGCUUAGCCGACGAAGAAGACGCAGCUGUCAAGAUCCAGGCCUUCUACAGGGGCUACCAGACACGUCGUGAUUUGGCAGACAAAAAGGAGAAGGAACUUUACGGUCCGGGUGGUAAACCGGGCAAAAAAAAGAAGGGAACUUAUCCGAAACCUCAGGCACCGACAGCACCACCACCACCACCACCUCAGCAGCAGCCGGCAGCAGCAGCAGCGGAUUUGCAACAACAACCAAUUACUUUGACGUAAAAACAACACUUCCGCCAAUCAAUAAAAAUGGAUUUGGACGCAAUGGAUCCCGCUGAACUCGAGCAAGAUUUGG
rnacentral:misc_RNA from 1 species